AAUGGGAUUCACUAAGAAUGAUAAUGUAUGACUUCUGGAAACAGCAGCAGCUCAAAUGUGGAACACAUCCAAAGUCCACAAUAACAACCAGGAAAAUAAAUUUUCUUCCUUCCACUACGGUAUCCUAUAUCUACAGUAGGCGAUGCUGAGAGAGAGAGCCUUGCUUGUGUUCAGUGAGAGGCUUGAAUCCAGCAAGACUAGUUUAAUCACUCUCAGAUACAAGGGUAUCUGCCACAGUCAGCUAUUGUACAACUUCCCUAGAAGCAGAUUCUACUUUGAAGUGCCUUUUGCUACUGGAAAGCUAUUCUGUUUAAUUAGCUUAGAUCAUACAUGCUGACCUUCCCCUUUCUACUCAUCGUUAUUAACUCUCUCCAGUGCUGGAAGACAAUUAUAAGAUUACCUAUUGGCCAUCUUUUCCUUAUACAUAACUACUACGGAUUAUUUAACCUUUCACAAGGGCUUUUGGUCAUGCCUAUAAAUUUUUAUGUGCCGCUUAUAUCUCCGUACUUAUUAGCAUUAAUCAUGAAACUUGAAACUAAUAAAUAUUAGAAAAUAAUCAUACUGUGGUGAUGGCAUCACUAGCAAAAUAAUUGUGAUAUUUUUAAAAAACCAUUUUGGGGGCAUUAUUUUUUAUUCUGAUAAACCUCUAAAACAAGUUUGAAAGGGAUAAAACUAUCUAUCAGUUGUCUUAAAUGAGACAAAGCCCCAAGGGUUUAUUUUUCAAAAAACUACAGCUAGAGAGUGCUAAAGACCUAACUUCAACUUCUCUCAUAAGAACUCAUAUUUUUCUAUUUGUCUCAGUUUAUGUGUAUGAGUGUUUUGCUUGCAGCUGUGUCUGUGUAUCAUGUGCAUCCUGAAACUGGGGCUGUAGACAGUUGUGAGCCACCAUGGGAAAUGAACCUGACUCCUUUGCAAGAACAACAAGUGUUAACCACUGUGCCAUCUCUCCAGCCUCAAAACUUUGAGACUUUCAUUUCUAAACAGAUUAGGGUGCCUAUGGAUCCCUCUUUGGCUUGUUCUGGCUUUAGUUUUAAAAAAGAUUUGAUAAUGUAUGUACAUGAAUAUGAAAUUUCUGGCAGGGUUUGUACAUCUCAUCAUAGACAAGUUAUUCCUGCCAAAGAUCUGCAUGUUCAUGUACUCUGCCUUCAUGAACUAGGUUAUAAUGGUAGUUGUUGUCAUGGUUACUCUUUUUGUAGUUCUCAUAUACUUUAUGUGUAAAGGUGAAAUUACUACCUGUUUUAUAAUAUCAAUACUACGUCUUGAAUAAUACCACAAAGCAUAAGCCCAAGAGACAUCAUGAUUUUAAAGUGGCAAAUAAAAAUUACAUUCACUGUCAACUGUUCUCUUCAGAAAGCAAGACUCAAGUGCAAACAAACAGAAGGAUGUGAUUUUAGAUGAAGUGGAUGAAGUUGUUCAAAGAUAAUUCCUAAUUACUGAGGCAUGAUCUGAAUGACGACGAUGUGAGUGUGAAAAACCCUUCUGGAGAUUCUGCCAAGUGCACAUCAGAACUCGAGAAGCCCUCACUGCUGACUCCCUAUAAAACGGUGAAGGGCCCUAUUUCCUCACUCCCUCAUCAAAGAGUCACGUAACUUUCCCGUGUGGACUUAAUGUUCGCAUCUUUCUCAAAUUGAUAGAUUGACUUCCUAAACCCAGUGUGUCUGUAUUUGGAGAUAAAUAUGGGGAUCUAAAGCCACAGAAAUGAGUUCUUUAUCCAAAGCAGAAAUGAGAUUGCAUAUGCUGUUUCCCUGCCAUGUGAAUAUACAAUGUGAAGUUGGCUGUCUACAAGCCAGGAAGACAGCCAGGAACUAUAUUGGCUGGCUAGAGUCUAAAUUAUACAAAUUAUACCAUGAUGGUGAAGCCCUGGUAAAAUAGGAUUAGUGCCUUCAGGAGAAGAGACGAUAGAAAGCUUAUGUACACAUUUGUGGCUAUACAAGGACCUGGUCAGAAACUAGCAAUUGAUAGACAUCUCCAAGAGGCCAGUUUACCCAGCACCUUAACCUGGGUGCCUCAAGACGGUGAGAAACAAGACAUUAAAUUAUUAUAUUUAACUUAUUCUACCUAUUGUGAUAUGUAUAGUACCCUUAGCCAAUUAAGAUACCCAUUAAUAAAUCAUAUGGUAUAAUUAAGAUACCUUUAGUUUUCAAGUAUCCUAAAGUCUUUGAUUUUUCAUGUCAAUAUUUCUGAUUGGAAUGCCUCUUCUCCACACAAGUUCUAUCUACUGGGACUGGAGAGAGAGCUCAGUGGGUAAGAGCAGAUACUACUCUUGCAUUAGACCUGGAUUCAGCUGCUAGUAACCACAUCAGAUGUCUCACAAGCUCUUUUAAGUCCAGCUCCAGGUGUAUCUGACAUUGCUGGCCUCCACCAGCACUCACAUGCACAUACCCAGCCACAGAUAGAUAACUAAAAACAAUAAUAAACAUCUGAUAAAAGUUCUAUCUACUCUUCGAAUUUUGUCUCAUAUCAUCCUUUUUUUUUAAGAUAAGGUCUCUCUGUGUCUCUGUGUCUCCUCACUAUCCUGAAGCUCACGAUGUAGAAGAGGCUAGGCUUAAACUCACAAAUGUCUGCACACCUCUGCUUCCUAAGGGCUGAGAUUAAAGGUAUGUGCCACCACGCCCAGCUUACAGAAAUCUUUUCUAUAUCUACUAUUCUGUCCAGUUAAGAAACAGCUGUAUUUAUAUAUACAUAUGUGUGCGUGUACACACACACACACACACACACACACACACACACGGCAGAGGGUAAGAGGGAGAGAGAGAGAGAGAGAGAGAGAGAGAGAGAGAGAGUCAUGUCUACUUUUGAGCUGAAUCUUUUAUUGCUAUCUAAUUUAUCUUCUUUUCUCAGACAAGAUUAUAAGUGGUUUGGACACAGAAGGUGUGUUCACUAAUCACUAGUACCCUCUGCAGUACUCACAAAUAUUUCAUGCUCAGUCAUUAUGUUUAGUUAAUACAACUGAACUAUAUUGAUGGGAACCGUCAACUUUUCUGCAUAAAAGAACUUAGUUUUUAAAAUAUUUCCCUUUGGCUUCAUGCCUUCUAUAUUUGUGCUAAUUCUCCGACAACUCUGUGGGACAUAUUUUGAACAUAUUUAUCCUCCUCCCAUAAUUUCUUUAACUUAAUGCUUUUAACUCCAUCAAGAAUUACAGAAAAUGUUUUUUUUUAAAAAAAUUACAGCAUAAGCUGGAGUGCAUAAGAUUAUUUCUUCAUGGUUUCACCUAGCCAUUUUAAUGUCAAUAUCUAAUAGGUCACAUAGCAUAGAUCAAGCUAAUGGAAGUAGCUAGCCCUUAAAUGGAAUUUUAUUUGAACUUCACGGAUAAUCUGUUGAGGCCUCUUACUUCUCCAGAAUAAGCUUCCACAUUGUGUUCCUUCCCCAGUGGGUGAUAGCUUCUCUAGAGUCCACCUCCCAAAUCUCCACCCAUUAGUGCCUUUUGUUACCAUAGCUGGGCAUAUUUUUCAUGCCAUGUGUAUAUGCAUGCUUCAUGCAUUAAUAUAAAGUCUAGCCACCACAAAUGAAAAUAUGCAAUAUUUGUCUUCCUAUGUUUGGCUUAGUUAGGUAAUCCCGAUUUUCAUACAGUUUUCUCCAAAAGACAUAACUUUGUUCUUUAUGCCAAAAAAUAAAAGUCCAGCCACUAUAACAAUCCAUAUGAAGGUUUCUCAGGAGAUGAAAAAUAAGUUGAUUAUAUUACCAACCUAUGUGAUAUUCAUACAUAAUUUUUUUUCACAGUAAAUUUUAUUUUUUUAAUUAGGUAUUUUCUUCAUUUACAUUUCCAAUGCUACACCAAGAGUCCCCCAAACCCUCUCCCCAACGCCCCUACCUACCCACUCCCACUUCUUGGCCCUGGCGUUCCCCUGUACUGAGGCAUAUAAAGUUUGCAAGACCAAUUGGCCUCUCUUUCCACUGAUGGCUGACUAGGCCAUCUUCUGAUACAUAUGCAGCUAGAGACACGAGCUCCGAGAGGUACUGGUUAGUUCAUAUUGUUGUUCCACCUAUAGGGUUGCAGACACCUUUAGCUCCUUGGGUACUUUCUCUAGCUCCUCCAUUGGGGACCCUGUGAUCCAUCCAAUAGCUGAUUGUGAGCAUCUACUUCUGUGUUUGCUAGGACCCAGCAUAGCCUCACAAGAGACAGCUAAAUCAGGGUCCUUUCAGCAAAAUCUUGCUAGUGUGUGCAAUGGUGUCAGUGUUUGGAGGUUGAUUAUGGGAUGGAUCCCCCGGUAUGGCAGUCUCUAGAUUGUCCAUCCUUUUGUCUCAGCUCCAAUCUUUGUCUCUGUAACUCCUUCCAUGGGUGUUUUAAAAAAAAACAAAUAUAAUCUUGCUCACUUAAAAUUAAAACAUUUAAUUUUAUGUUUUAAAGUAUACAAAAGCGUCAUCAAACAUCCCAAGAUUAAGAGCCUCUGCAUGCACACACAAAGUGCAAACAUAGUCUGAGCAACUCCUCUCAUUACACUUCCAAAGCUGAUCCCAUCUGUAGAACCUCCAGUUUAGGAUUGUUUCUUUGUGUUUGGUUAUAGAAUCCCUGAAAAAAGCAUUAAAUAUCAAGAAUAAUUCAUAUAGCCAAUCACAGAUUAGAGGUCAUUUCAGUCAUAUCUAGUUGGCUAAUGAUUGAAAAUCUAACAUGUUCAUAAAGCAAUUCUGUGUAAAAAUCCAACUUGGUUGAGGAAGUCUCUCUGUGAUUUAAACAGUGGUCUGGCUCCCUGAGAAGAGUGACCUCAGGAUAAUAGGAUAUACCUUACAUCUUUUCGUGUAUGCUGUAACCAUAUCAAGCAGGAAGGACUUGAUGUAUGCCAAACAUUAUAAACAAAUAAAAAUUUGAAAACAUGAACUAUCCAUGAAAAAAAUCUAAUUACAUAAAAAAGAACAAUAGAGCUAGAUAGUUUCAGAUGAAAUUCACUUGCUUCUGAUGACAUCGUAUGCAUCCCAGUGUGGAAAGUGGUUUCUUAUAUACCUGUUAAUCUGCUACUGGAUAAUUCACAAAGAGCUGCUUACAGGUUUAAAGAAAUAGUGUUGAUUCCCUUCCUACAAAUCCUUGAAAAGUAUUUGGUGGCUACAAAUAUUGACAGUGAGAGAUUUAGAGGUCAGUAGUUUUAAGACUUGCUUCUAUGCAUUUUGGUCCCAAAUCAUAGCCUUAAAACAGCAACUUUUAAUCAUUAUAACAGUUAAUACAUAAAGCACUAUAUUGUAUAUUGUAGAAAGAGGAAUCAUUUGUAUUUAUGAGUGAGAUUUGGUUGUAUAUUAACCAAGGAUAUAUUGUGUUCUAAAAAUAAUAAUAAUGAUGAUUUUACUCUAAAGUAUAUUUCCUUGGCAGAGACUUGGUAUGUGUGUGUGUAGGGGGGGGGGUCCCACCCUCUCAGAAGAGAAGGAAAGGUCAGAUGGGAAGGGGGUGCUGAGAGGGGCCAGUGUUUGGGAUAUAAAUAAAUAACUAUAAUUUUUAAAAGUAUAUUUGCUUGUAGUAAAUAAUUUGGCACCUAUAUAAUGAGAUACCUUGCUGCAAACCACAACUUAUUUUCAACUGUUUGGCGAGGAACACUUGUAAGAUUACUGACCAACAGUUUUCCUUCAAAUAACAGGCAUUGUACAAGUGGAAGCCAUGAAACUUAAGAUUCAUUCACUUUACGAUAAAUUUUAUCGGGUUUUAUAUAUACACGCUCAAAAAACUUCACAUCAUGUUAUUUUCCUCCCACAGAAACUGUCUUAUCUGCAAAUUCCUAAGUGUAAUAAACAAGCCUGAUGUGUUUACUUGUCUCCUGCCAGAUACUGAGAGUGCCAUAAGAAGAUAAAUCUGAAGUUGCUUGCCAUGUGUUAUAAGGCUUCUUCUUUCUUUUUUUUAAAAUAUUUUUUAUUAGAUAUUUUCUUUAUUUACAUUUCAAAUGUUAUCUCCUUUCCUAGUUUCCCCUCUGAAAAUCCCUUAACCUCUCCCCUUCCCCUGUUCCUCAACCCAACCACUCCCAUUCCCAGUCCUGGCAUUCCCCUAUACUGGGGCCUCUCCUCCCAUUGAUGACCAACUAGGUCAUCCUCAUCUACAUAUACAGCUAGAGUCACAAGUCCCACCAUGUGUUUUCUUUGAUUGGUGGUUUAGUCCCAGGCAGCUCUGGGGUACUGGUUAGUUCAUAUUGAUGCUCCUCCUAUGGGGCUUCAGACCCCCUCAGCUCCUCUUGCAGGCCACGCACUAUGCAUUAAAUCAUGACUGCUAUGUGAAACCUCCUUGUCACACAGCAACAUGCUCAGUGGGGACUUUGAUGAUUACAUCAAUGCCCUCUUGGACCUUUGCAGCGAUGAUGGUUAAUUUCAGUGUCUUUCUUUUUAUUCCACUGCUGUGCUCCUGUGAAAUUAUGUAAAGCAGAACUCAUGAGGUUGCCUCGUUUUUGUGAACUCGAGGAGGUAUCCCAAGAAUGGAUUUUAGACAUGAGAACCCUCACUGAAAUAUGACAUUAAAAAAAAAAAUCAUUGCUGAGCCUUUUCAUUAUACUGGUUCUACGUGCUUUUAGGAGAGUCUAGAAAAAUCCUCAUAUCAAGCAGAUUGGACAGGACAGAGUAGACUUAAUCGGUAAGCAAUGCUGUCUGAAGGUAGCAAGAACAACAACAACAAAAAAAAAAAACAAAAACAAAAAACAAAAAAAGAAGCCUAAUUAGUAUACAGCACUGUUUAUGAAUUAGGUUCCUUAUUCUUACAAAGACAUGCAAAAUAUAUUCAAAAUGUGCUUAUCUCUAACUGUUAAGACAAAAAAAAUAACUUUUACUCAGCUUAGGGAAAAAAAAAAAGGAAUGCUCCUAGUCUUCUAUGUCUGGAGGAGCCACUACUGGGGUCGCAAUCACAGGAAGGAGGAGUAGAGAGUCUUAGAUGGGAAAUGGAGAUUCAGAGAAUAAAUAUGGCUUUAGCACACAGUAUCCUCAUUUAUAUUCAGUAUAUAAAAUAUUUUACAGCUAAUGACCCAAAAGGACAUCUUUUGAGAAGGGAAUUAUGCUAAAUAUCAAGUGUGAUUACAAUUACAAUAUACCACGCCUCAGAUCCUUGAUAAAGUUUAAUGAAUGGAACUUUAAGCCCCUUAGAAACACGAACAUUUUAAUGAGCAGACGCCUGCUAUCCAUACUUGAAGCUUCCUGGGGAACCUUUAAAAUAUUUCUUUUUAGAAGCUUUAUAAAAGAGCAACACAGGACUCAGUGCUAUUACUCCCUAUGCCUUUAUAACAUUCAGAAAUAGUUAAGAUAAUCGAAGUUGAUCAUAACAUUUUCAGGUUUUGGCUGUCAAAAUCAACUCUCCUCAUUUCUCUUUUACCAAUAACUAGGGUGCUUUGCAUAAACAUGAAAAAUGGCAGCACAAGCACAAAGCAAUCCUUAGAAAGAUGAGGAGGGAGCCAAAACUUCAGAUACCUGCUGCAUUUGCUGAAUGACAAUGACAGCCAUCAGGACUUCACUUUAAAGAUAAUAGAAUAGUUUACUUUUGCAUAAACAAGAUAUGUUCUAUCUAUAUUCAAGUUUUUAAUGACUUAGAUGUGUCUGUUGGAUUAUUUGAGAACGUCAUUGAACAGUUAAUUUCUCUCUUUUCCUCAUUAGCACAAAAUAAAGUCUGUCUAUUAGCUGCUCCAGUUAAUGGAACCAUUCCAGAGGUAUCAUUUAUGAUACACCAUUGAGAAACCAAAUAAAAAACAAGCAGGAUUAAAAACAACUAUAUGGGCUUGAGAGAUGGCUUAGCAGUUAUGAGUACCAGAUCUUCUUUCAGAGGACUCAAGUUCAAUUCCCAGCAUCCAUUAUAGAAAGUUAAACCCAUCUGUAACUUCAGUGUGGGGAGGCAAGAAUCCAAGAUCCUCUCAUGGCUUCCAUAUACAUUAUAGACACAUGGUACACAGACAUGCAUACAACACCCAUAACACAGUAAAUAAUAAAGUACUUUUUAAAGAUUUGUAGAUAUCAUAUUGUAUAUAGUAUGUUCAAAUUCUGUUACUUUUCUUUUAUUGAGUGAAUAAAUUACUACUUUUAUGCCUCACACAUUAAGCACUAAAAUACUAACCAUUAUACUCACCUGAUAGGAAAAUUUAUGAUUCUCAGGUGAGCCAAAAAGCAGGAUAUAAACAUUCUGAGAAGGAGGGAAAGAACACUGAUUCCUAAAAGAGCAGACAACAAUGCUUGAGGAGAGAAAUCAGAAUGAUCUUACUGAACAGAGACUCCCAAGACAGAACAGAAGAAUAAACACUAAAUGAGGAAAGAUGAAAUCCCAGGAGCAUGGUGGCUAUUUUAAGGCAGAUACUUUGAAUAUGACAACCCCUUGUGUGUUAGGUUCUGUCAUGCCUAAAAGUCAAAAAUAACUUGAAGGCAAUACAGUUCUCUGUCUCAAAGAGAUUCUGCCCCAUAAUAGGAUUGUAUAAACCCAAGAAAAAUAAAUAUAUUCAGUGCAAAGCAGUUCACUGAACAUUUUGCACAAACAAAACCAUGAGGUAUCUAUAAGAAGACAUGAAAAAGUUUCCCCAAAAGAAAAACCAACAAAAUUAAGUCAAAGAUCACUUAAUAAAUUUAAAUGCUUAUGUUUUCAAAGCACAUCUAAUUAUAACACUUUUAGAGGCCCUCAGUGCUCUGUGCAUUAUUCAAAAUACUAAUCAACAUUUUAAUAGGACUUGAUCUAAGUCAGUAUGAAAAAAUGAAGUUGAAUAAAUUAAAAGCAUGUGUAAAGAAACCAACUUCUAAGGAAUAAAAAAACAAAAACAAAAACAAACAAAAACAAACAACAACAAAAAAAAAACAAAACGUGUGCCUGUAAUAGUGUUGGAGUAAUUUGAUAAAAGUAUGGGAAGAAAGUCUUACUCAGUCUGUUUCUAAGAACAAAUCCCAGAUUAGGGAUAAUAUUCCUAGCCUAACAUACUUUGUAUUAUUUUGAUAAUCUAAUUCUGCAACAGUUAUUCUGUAACUAAUUGGAUAUAUCUUCAGAGAAUGACCAAAAUAAAUCAAGUUUAGGCAGGCUAUAAUAAAGUCAUGUCAUUUUUAUAUUGUAAUUUAUUCGGCAAAUUCACAUUACUAAAUUUAUAAUUUAAAUAAUAAUAGUAACAAAUUAUAGAGUAACAGUAAUAGUAACAAAUUAUAAAUAGUCCUAAUUUUUAGCAGCAGGUUAAAUCUCACCAUAUAUAAUGAUAACCUUCAAAAUAUCUGUUUAGACACAACAAACGAGAACACUUGAAAAAGAAGUGUAUUAGAACUGGUUAGUGGGUGAAAUUUAUAUUCAUUUAAAUUCAUGAAAAAUUUACGCGUAUAUUUAAAUACCUAUGACUCACAAAAACUCUUCUAUGUAAUUUCAUUAGCACUUUUUAUUAUAUGCUGAUAUUUAGGUGAUGGUAACUUUGAUUACAGACUUUAAUUAGUUAAUAUGUCAUAACAGUUCUCAUCUGAACAAAAUCUUUACCAAUUACAUUCAUUUUAGCUCUUGCUAAUUUUCAUGAAGAGUAGGAUUUAUGAGUGUAAUUUCUGGAAUCAACAUUUAUCACAAAUAUGUGUUUCUUGAUUGAAUGAACAAUAACUUCACACAGAGUUAUGAUGUAAAAGUCAAAAUAAAGCACUGAUAGUAGAAUUUUGUUCAGAACUCAUGUAUAAGAUGAACACUAAAUCUGAAACACUGGCAGCUCCUGGAGUCUAAGGUACUUCCGAGGCCAUCAAUGUCAAAAAGAAUCACAUGACUGUUAGUGAGACGCUAACUACUUACAUUAUAGGAUGCUAAGAAAUUUUAUCUCAAAGUAACACUAAAAAUGCAGUACAUGCCAUAAAAAUCAACACAUGAGUCAAUAAAUCAAUGUGUCUACAGCCAGUGAUCUUCAUUGAAGAAAUACGCACAUUAUAGACAGGAACAUCUCUUUAGUGAACAGAGCCUGGAAAACUGUAUAUGCACAAACAGGAGAAAUAAAACAGGUCCUUACUUUGACAUAUUAACAAGUCAACUCAAAAUGAGUCAAAGACCUAAGUAUAAAACCUUAAACCCUUGUAGAAGAAAACACUUCAUGACAUUGGUAUAGACAAUAAACGUUUUGAUUAGAUAUCUCUCUCCCCAAAUAUUAAGAAUAAAAAAUUAAAAGUUUACAAAUGGGAAUCACAUAACAUAGUAAGCAUUGCACUGUAAGUGAAAUAUUUAACAGAAAAGAAUGGCCUUCUAGAAGAGGAGAAAAUUCUUGCAAACUACUCAUUGGACAAAAGAUAAACAUAUAUACUACAUAAAAAACAGUAAGACUUAAAAAUCAAAAUCAAAACCAAACAAAAAAUCUACAUGAUAUGCCUUAGUUACUUUUCUACUGUUGUGGGGGAAAACACCACAUAAUUUAUAUUUUUUAAAAAGUGCUUAAUUGUGCUUACAGUUUCAAGGAGUUAGAAUCCAUAACGUCAGUACAAAGGCUCUGUGGUAGGAAGAGCUAAGAGCUCAUAACUUGAUCCAUAAAGGAAAAUUUUAAAACAUGUCAAAUAUUUGCAUCGAUAUUUCUCAAAAAGUCAUAAUUUUAACUAAAUAUUUUUAACUAAAAACUUUAUAUAAGUGGAAAGAUUUAAAUAACAGUAAACUAUAUAACGGGCAAACAUACACAUAACAGUUUAAUAUGUUUUCUACAUAAUCAUUUUUUAUAGUUGAAUCUUUAACACACAACCAGAGUGAGCUCUUCAGACAACCAUGGUGGACAAUGGCUAUGAAACAAAUCUGACACAGAAUUUUGAUUUUGUUUUUGGUUUUUGUGAUUAAAAUGUUAUUUAAAACAGGAAAAAAAAACGUAUGACUGGCCAAUAGCUUGUAAAAUUCACUAGUCAUAAGCAAGUAAAAACUAUAAUAAGCAUUCAAGUCACACUAACUAUAAUGGAUAUUAUAAAGAACAUAAUAAAUAACAAAUGUUGAUAAAGAUAUAGAGAAAGAAGUGCUCUUUUACACUAUUUAUAGGAGAGUAGAUCAGAACAACCAUUAGGAAAGCAAUCAAAGUAUUGGAGUUCCUUCACGGUAACUAACAAUGCAACACAUGACAUAAAUAUCACAUAACCUGGUGCAUACUUAUAGGAAAUAAAAUUUCAAAAUUAUAUUACAAAUUAAAUGUUAUCACAAAAAUAUUUCUGAACUCUCAAAUCAAUUUAAACACUGUUUACAAUAGCCAAGUGCUCAUCGAUGGAUGAACGGAUAAGGAAACUGAGGGUCAUACCUGAAAUGCAAUAUUACUAAGCCAUAAAAGUGAAAUAUUAUUUGCAGCAUCAGUAAUGGACGUGGUGGAUCAAGACAUUAUUCUGAUAAGGAAAAUAUGCUUAUGAAAGAAAGACAACUACUAUAUCAUUAUUCAUUCGGGAAAACUAAAAAAAUAGAUUUCACAGAAGUAGCAAACAAAGAGUAAGAUUUAGAUCAGCAUAGAGAACUCACCAAUAAUGCAUGAGGCAUUGUGUUCAAUCACCAAAACUACCUCCGCACUCAUGUACACACACACACAUACACAUGCACACACUCCAGUCCCCAAUACUGCCGUUCUUUCUAUAUAUGUAUACACACACACACACACACACACACACACUAGGAAGGGUAUUAGGUAUCAGGUACCAAAAUCUAUCUUGAUAGGAGGAAUGUGUUCUGGCAUUGCAAAGCACAGAUACAUCACUAAAGCUUAUAACAACUUAUCAUGUGUCAUAUCAAUACCUAGAAAGGUAGUUACAAAGCUCCAAAGACUAAGAAAUGAUAUAUUUUUAAGGAGGAGGAAAUGCUAACAGCCCAUCCUGAUUGGAGUAUAACACCGUAAAUAUAUGAACGGUCACACUGUAUCCAGCACGACAUGCAGUUACUAGACGCCCAUUAUUAAAAAUUCAAGUAUCAUAUAUCCAUUUUUGGAUUCAUUUACAAAAUGAGGAAUAAAAUAGACUUAGUUUAUGAGAAGGUGCCGUAUUAAGUGGAUUAAUAAUUGCAAAGAGGAGCAAAAACCUAUCUAUGCUACUUGCCAUUUGAGAUGCUGUGAUAAAGCUCUUUAUCUUGCUGUUCCUCAUUUUUCUCAUGUAUAAGACAAGAAUAUUGCAAGACUGCAGUGAGGAUAAGUGAGAAUAGUGUGACAAGAAUUUUUGGUUACUAUAAUGGGUUCUAUUUCCUUCCACCCUUCUGCACCCCAAUCCCUCACAACCCCCAACACUAGGUAGGAGAGAAAGAGAGUUAAAGGGGAAAAGGGAGUGUUGUUCAGACUACUUUCAGCUGACUAGGGGUGUUGAGUUUCCUAGAGCAAGUUCCAUUAGGAUAUCUCCAACCAGCAAUCCAGCAAUCCAGGAAUCAUCCAGCAAUCCAGCAAUCCAGCAACCAGGAGCAGAAACAGCAGUAGGGGAAGAAGCAGGGGCUCUGACAUUUAUAUUCCCUCUGAAGAGUCCCCAGAAUUCCAAACAGAAACUAUGUGCAACUGGCAAAACCAUGCCCCAACCAGAGCAUGAAACAAAUCACAGUCUGCUGCUGUGUACAAUCUGAAGCAGCUCAUACCCCACACCUGAGAUCAGAAUUUCUGUGCUCUGAAAGAAAUCAAAAUUCUCACUACAGGGUAGGCUUAUAUCCUCUUAGCAUAUGCCUUCAUAUAAAGUAAGGGAUCCCUGCACAGUACCUGAAAUUACUAUGAUAAUGCUCAUGGUACUUCAGCGAUGCUUCAGGACAGUUUUCAACAUAGGAAACAACUGAUCUGACCCAAGAUCCGGCCUUUCAGUGAGAUUUCAGUACUGAGCUCAGAACACUCAAGAGAAGAGCUAAAGGGAGAAACAGUAGGUAUCCUUUGCAGAAGCCAAGAUGAGAGUGUGGAGAGUCAGGCAAAAUAGGGAGUUCACAAAGGGGAGAUGAGGUAUAUGUGGUGACGGGACACAGAAUGUAUUUGUCAGAAAGGAGCUUGAUAAUUCAAGAUCAAACUUUCUCACAGUGGGUGUUUGAAUUUUAGCUCUAAAAUUCUCAUGUUGACAAUUACCAAUACGAUCAUAUUGCGAGAAGUGGGGGUCUAGGGGUUAUUAUGCCUUAGUGAGAAUCCCUUAGGAAUGGGAUUACCACUAGAGAUUCAGCCCAGCAGUAGAACACUUGAUCAGUAUGUUUGGAGUCCUGUGCAAUUAUCACCACCUAAAAGGAAAUGAUGUCAAUUUCCAUGGAGAAGAGGCUAACAGAGGGCUCCCUAGUCCUUGUGUGACUCUUUGUUUAUCUCAGUGUGAGGACAAAGUAUCUGUCCCCUCAAGAACACUACUUUAGACACAGACAGAAGUCAACACAAGAACCCAGAGCUGUUGGCACCUGGAUCUUAGCCUCCCUAAAUAUCAGAAUGUGAGGGAAAUACUUCUAUAUUUAUAAAUUGUCCAGAUUAUGGUAUUGUGUUAUAGGAAUAAACUAAGACAGGAGCACUUGUUGCCUGUUUUCUUCCUUUGCUAAUUUUAUGGUUGUGAAUGCUAGGGAGGGUGAAGUUUAGAUUUGGCAAGAUACUUAGCAGGGAGCCCAUUUUAUAUGUACAGAUUUGAACUAUAGAAAGCAGUUUGGUUCAUACACAUUCAAAAAGAGAAUAGUCAAGAAUCCUUGGAGGUAGGGUAUGGGGGUUCAUACCUUUAAUGCCAGCACUGGGGGGCGGGGUAAAAUCAAGCAGACAUCAAUGAGCUCAUUCCAGCUUAGUCUACAAGAGUGAGUUCCAGAAAUGUCAGGGCUGCACAGAGAGAUAUUUUACCAAAAUAGCAAGACCAUUCCUGAAGAUUUUAACAAAGUCAUUGGAUAAACAGGAGGAGAGUUGUCAUUGAGAAUUAAAAGAAGAGUUGCUAUUGAUUAAAUUAUAUUGUAUGAAUGAGUGUGAGUUGUCUACUUUAAAGGACACAACUCAAAAUGCACAUGUGGCCUUAAGAUUAACUAUCCCCCAAAUGGGGUUUCUCAAAUCUUAAACUAUCUGUAUAAAUACUAACCAUAUAGCAUACAUAGAAGUAUAUGUUUAUUUCAGUCAGUGAAAACACAGACUACUAUAAAUACUCAUGCUGUAAGAAUUGUCUAUUAAAUGUGAUAUAUAUCUGUAAUAAAGGAAGUGGCCCACAUUCCGGAAGGAGAGCAGUUUAGUUCACAGAUCUCAACUGUUGAUCCAGGACACACUAUUGUUGCCUGAGUCAAGCAUGAAAAUAACUCUAACUCACUCUCUCUCUCUCUCUCUCUCUCUCUCUCUCUCUCUCUCUCUCUCUCUCUCUCUUUUUUCAAGACACGGUUUCUCUGUGUAGCCCUGGCUGUCCUGGAACUCACUUUGUAUACCAGGCUGGCCUCGAACUCAGAAAUCCACCUGCCUCUGCCUCUGAAGUGCUGGGAUUAAAGGCAUGUGCCACCACUGCCUGGCCUAACUCUCUUAAUAUUUCAAAUCAGUAUAUAGCUGGUUGUACUCUCUACCAACAGCCUUUACUUAUUCAUUAAUGAACUAGCCAUUUGAUACUAGGAAUAUGAAUGAAAGAACAGUACCUGGAGAGAUGGGCCAAAAGUUAAGAGCAAUGCUGCUCUUUUAGAGGACCCUGGAAGUUCAAGUCACAGCAUACAAAGAGUAACUCAUAACUGUCUGUAACUGUUGUCUCAGGGGAUAAGUUUGCCUCUCCUGACAUAUGCAGGUACUGCAUAUGUACAAUACACAGACACCUGCAGGCAAAAUACCCAUACACAUAAAAAAAAAAAUCAAUGAAUUUUUAAAAAAAUUCCAAGCCUGGAGAAAUAAGCAGAAAGAGACAAAACUGUAAAGGGGAAAAUGCCCACAGGUUCUACUAUAAAUCUCCCCAGGCACUGAGGAAGUAAAAUUCCUACACACACUGGGUGUGUGGAUAUCCUGAAUGGAUUUUAGAACAGAGGAGGUAUCUUUCUGAUGGAAGGUAUCUAACAACUCACUCGAAUGAGACUGUGGAAUAUACACGACCUGCUAGAAGAGGCAGAAUACAGUAGCGUCCACUUGUGAAUGGUCUUUUCUCCCAAUCUUCAGCCCUCAAGUCUGUCCUACAUAUUCUUAUUUGAAAAACAGACCUGUCUUCGACUUCAGAACUUACCAUUUAAAUUGACAAAAGUGAAAGAUCUUAACUUUGGAACAAACUUUAUUUCCAAAGGACCAUCCAUGGGCACUUGUUCUUUUCAAACAGACUUUUAGAAAUUUUUCUUUUAACACCGUCAUUUCUGAGCAAAAAGGAAAGGAUUUUAAGGCUUCUAAAAAAAGCUUCCUACUGUCUACCCAACAUUCAGGUUUGUGGAAGCCCAGAGUAUAGAAAGCAGUUGUGAUUCAUUCCAAUCUAAGUUAUUAAUGAAAACGUAAACACUGGGAGAAGUUUGGUGACCAGUUACACUUUGAUAUGAUGGACUUGUAUUCAACUAGGAGGACAUUUCCCAAACAAGAAGCUGAGGGUGCAAUAAUAACUAAAUGCGAGUAGAUGCGGGCACAUUAACAAGCUUGCACUGCUUGAUAGGCUGCAGUAACAGUGUCAGAAGUAUACAGAAUUGACUACAGAAAAAACGGAAUCUCAGAGAAGCAUCUCCUAGACUUAAGCUAUGCGUUGCAAGCUUUAGUGUAAAGAAUUUUUACAGUCCUGGAACAUCCUGAACUUCUAGUGAAUUUCCUGGGUGUCUCCCAGGAACCACUGAAGCCAACCAGACUUGUUUCUUCCCUUAGGCCUGAACAGUCCAUGGGGAAAAUAGUACAUUUUUCAGAAGUAAUAAAAAUAACACAUUUAGUAUGAGAAAACACUUUCAUGCUCAACUUCAUUGGAAAAUAAAAUAGAUCUCACUUAUUAACUGAGCGAGUUAAUCAGGGAGUUGAUUAUUUUAAAGAGAUUAAGCAAAAACUGUACAAUGUAUUAUUCCCUUAAACAUUAUCAACCCAAGCACAGCUGGCAGCAUACUCAUGUUUACCCUGAAUGCAUUGGUGGAGUGGAAAAGAUGAGGUUCAGACCAAACUGUGUGAGAGUCAGAGAUAUGAGGUCUAAAGUGAAUCUGUAUUUGUGUGCUGGAGAAAGCUUCCUGAAAUAUAAUCUAAGAAAGUUGAAUUUAUGGACAUUUACUAGAUCCAUACACAUAGAAUUCUAAAUCUACUUUUAAUUAGACCAAAAGGAAGGGAAACCAAGGCUGGAAAUUUCAAUCGACCACUCUUAUUUCAUGAUUAUUGAGUUUAUUAUAGCUAAGAGCAUUUGAUAUUAAAAUAUGGUCAUAGAUUAAUAGGACACCAACAGUAGUUGUAAUGUUUCUGUUCAGAGAGUCUUUUUGUUUAAAGAGUGAGAGUCAUCCUCAUGGAGAGCUCUCAGACAUACCUGUUGCUCCUGAAAGAACACCAAGAAGUGAUGCACUUGUGGCCUGAACCCAAAGAGUAACAAUGCAAUGUGUACGGUGUAAUGACUGAGGGCAAGGCUGUCUUCCUAAAACAUUUAAGAUGCCUCUUAAAUGGCUAUGGUAGCCAGUUCAUAGUACAUACUGUCAUGUGUGAUCCUCUAUCUCCAGUGACAUUUGGCUGUUUAUGUCUCCAAGAUCGGAAUCAAAUGCGCAGCCAUUCCGGUGACCUGACAAAUCUGAGCAGACACUAUGAAUACACAACAAAUGUAGGGCUCUACCUUUGAGCAUGCCAGUGCCAAACCACUCUGCAGCUUGAUCUGCCAAUUACAGGUGGACAAAAUAUGGAAAUGUGAUAUGCAGACAUGAGCCCUGGGUAGAUGAAACAUUCCCCAGACAUUUGCAUUUUUGGAAGACAUGUAGAUAGAUUCUUUCCUUGUCAUUCCAUCUUGAUUCAUACUUUGUUAAACUACUGGCUAGAACAGUAGGUCCCCAGCCAGUUUCCGCAAGUCCAAUUUGUCUUCAUUCUAGAAGACACCACACACAGGUGCUGUCUCACUAUUCUAAAUUACCUUCCCCCUACCCCAAAACUACUCAUCCUUCUUCAUUUCCCUCUAAAGAAAUCAGAAGUUUCUCAGCAUACAAACACAGGGCAGGCAUCCAUGCUUUACUUCUGGAUCUACUGUCUUGACAUAACCUCCAGUCAAGAGAAUAACUACUUACUAACAGCAUGAACUAAGCUUUUAUCUGCUCACAGUUCACUCUUCCUGCUGCUCAGGAAGAUGACCUCAUUCUCCCAUUCUCCCACUCCUCACUCCCCUGAUUCUACUUUCUCCACAAGCAUUUCCUUGCCCUAUCAAUCUCCUCUCUCCCUGUCCCUGUCCUUAUCUCUGUCCCUGUCCCUGUCCCUUUCUCCAGAAUCUUCACACAUCUAUGGAAUUAUCUCAUGGUGAUAACAUACCAGUGCUGCUGUUUACAUAAUUUCAUCCAUGCAUUUGGAGAUUGUAAAUGUGGUUUGCAGAACCAAACAUGUGAGAAAGUAAAAAAUAAAUAAAUAAAAAUAAGAAUAAAAAGUAAAAAAGACAGGCAAAACCUAAAGACCAAACCAUAUAUUUGAACUAAAUCUGGUGGUAUAUGAGGUACCUGUGGGAGGCUGGAUUUUGAGUGGUAAUGUUUGAAAGCACAUUGCAGCUUAUGUGUAGGCAUUUCUUCCAUAUUUUCCAUUUUGGUCAAAGAGAGCCAACAAAGAAAGAACCCAGUUUUCUUUUCCUUAAAAUUAAAACAGAUUCUGUCUACUAAAUAUAACAAGAAUCCAAACUUCUUAAAUUUGCUAAAAAUUAUGACAAAAAAAACCUACAGAUCCAUUUUAAUACUCUAGCAUGUUCAAUUAAUAUUUAGAGAAAAUUAUAUUUAUGUUAUUCAUAGAAUCACCACUUCUAUACCUUUCAUAUAACAUACUAGGAAAAAUAACAUACUAGGAAAGUAGGCUUAUGUAAUGAUUUUGAUGCAGAGCUGUAAUAAAUAAAUAGAGGCAGCAAAUAAUCUGCUGUUACCUUCAUUACCUGGAGGAUUCUAACCUCUAAAUCACACAUUUAGUUCCUAUAAAGGUAUUUUUUUCUCAACACCUACAAUUAUUUGACAUGUUCUUUUUGCCUAAUUCAGCAUGCUCUUGAUAUUCCUUAAGCCUCCUGUGCUGCUGCCUUGAUUUCUUUUUGUAAUUCUUCAUGCCUCAUGCAAGAGACAGGCAGAUGAUUUACUUAAAGCCCCUGUAUAUUUCUUAACUGUAUCUGGAACAUAGUUGGUUACAAUGAAAAUGAACAUGGGGGAUUCUAUUUCAAUGCACAAGAGAGCCUUAGCACAUCUCCACUACAAAGACUCUGUCUCUUCAAAUUCAAGGUAACCCCAACAGCUCCAACCUCUCCCAGUAACCUGAACCCCAACUUCCUUUCACUUCUUUUCUUACAUCACAUGAUCUCAAAUACCAUUAAGUUAUCCCCAGUUAUUUCCUUUCUGUUCACACCUAUCUAAUGACAACUCACAACUGCCUGUAUCUCCAGUCUCUUGGAACUCAGCCCCUCUUCUCCCCCAUGUGCGCUCUUGUGUGCACAUGGGACACAUAAAUUCAGCAAGCACACACAUAGAUUUAAUUAUUUAAAUAUCAAUUAUUAUUACGUUUUCAUGAGAGCCUCAUUCUAAACUAUGCUUAUAUCAUGUACUCAGACAUAAUAGUGAUCACUGGGUGCUUGUCAUAUGCCAGAGAUUGCACUAAAUUCUACAUGAAUUAUUUGUGUUGAGUUUCAAAGUGUCUCAGUAUGAAGAUGAUGUAGUUAUUUUUACUUUAUGAAGCAAGAAGAAUCUUCCAAAUAUUUAUUGACUAUAUGGAUAAAGAAAUGUAUAUGAAAUAAUCUAAUGUUCAAAUUUACAUUUUUAACCACAGAAUUAAGUAAAUAAUAAUUAUACUUUGAUUUUAUCCUAUAAUAAUUUCUGUAAGGUAUAUGUAGAAAUAGCUGCUUUGGGAAACAUAAAAUAUAAAUAUCUUACUUUGACAUCAGAUGUCUAUCAAGAGAACACACUCUUUUGUGUUCGUUCACAUUAAGUGGUGUGAGUGUUAUUUUUUUUUUUUUAUAUUUACACUUUGAAAAUAAAAUACUGUUUUAGCAAGCACAGUAUUCAGGGACUGACCCCAAUGAAAUAACUUAAAAUAAUUAUUUUUACUAAACUAACAGUCACAACUAUAAAAUAAUAUAGUUGCUAAAAUGUCACCAAAUUAUGCUUUAAAAAAUUAGAAAGGGUCACUCCUUAGUAUCUCCUUUCAGAUGUCAUCCUCUAGCCCCUCCUCACUGAGUAGUAAUGAGAGAAAAGUCACCUUAAAGAUAUAAAUUUCACAUUAGAAUUGAAGGUACAUUUGCAGCGGUGAAGAUAAUACAUAGUGAAGAAAAAUCUAUUUUCCAAAGAAGGAUCCUUACAGGAAAAACAAGUAAUAAUAAAGUAGAAGGGGUGAGGGAAAGCAUGCAGCGUUUCUAAGACAAGCAGAAAAUGGCUUGCUUCACUGAUUCUGACAGCCCGCAGGUUGGUUAUGAAACAUCACACCCAGGCUAAGACAUGGAAGAUUCAGAAAUUGUGGCAGCUGAAAGCCAGAGAUGAAAGCCCAAGGGACACAUCUCUCUUUUUACAGGAAGAUAGAGCCACUGUUGUGGAAUAGACAAACUACUGUAAGCCACUGCUGCUGUGAUGCCCAUCUCGAUGGAUAUGUGAGCUUGAUUGUGAAUAAAAUCAGCAGUUGAAAUUGAGAACAUAUCUGACGUGUUGUGAACCACAUGAGGGGAAGAAAGUACAGCAGGACCCACAGAAUCCUCAGUCCAUUUAAACAAGGAAACUAAGACAUGUUUUUCUUCCUUCUUAAGAAUUUUUUUAAUUGUGUGUGCUAGAACCAAAGCCAGCAGUCUGAGCAACAAACACCUUUGCCAGCUGGGGCUUCUUGUCAGUGCCCAUGUUCAGAAUUCAUGAGGCUAAACUGAAUCCUUUUUUUUUUUUUUUUUUUUUUUUUUUUUCCAGAUUGAACGUUCUCCUCUGGAGCAGCAUUAUCUCUGUCUUCAGGGUUAACCUCACAUAGGAACGCAGUACAUUUGACAUUAGCAAAUGUGGUUGUCACCUUCAGGGUCCCUGGCAGUGGCCAGGCUAAGAGGAGAGGUGGAGAGCGAUGAUGUAUCAUUAAGUCUGAAAGAUCCAGGAAAGCUCAAGUUGGAUAAGAUAAGGGAUGAAGACAAAGGAUGAAUUGUGUAUACUGGAAGACUUCUCUACUUUAGGUGAUUAUCACCGAACAAUACUGGCUUUCUGUGAAAGGCAUGAAAGUGAGGGGGAAGAGCAGAGGAGACACGAGGAAGGCGAGGCAGAGCUAGGGAAAGAAAGGAGAUAAGAGUGGGACUUGAAGUUGGAGAGAAUGAGUCAGAGGAAUUAAUCUCCCACUUGUCUAAAGAAGCACACCAUGAAAACUUCACCUUCAGAAACGCAUAACUAAAAAAGACACACGGCUACGGAGCUCCCCCACACCGCUUCUGUGUCAAGGACUUUCAAAGUUACCUACGAAUUACAGAAACUUGGGUUUCCUUCUAAUGUUCCAGAGAUUGAUGUUUGUCUUAAUGCACAUAUCAUAUGGUUUUGUUUGUACAUGGGACCUCAUGAAAAAUUAAAAAAAAAUAAAGAUUUGACUAUGAGUAUAUACAUUGAGGCAAAGGAGGAGGACUUAGGGUGAUGGAACAAACUUGUAAAAUGUUGUUUAUCCUAUCCAUGCCAUGAGAAAAGAAAUGUGCAAUUCAUGUAAUUCAUGAAUAAAAUAUAAUUGGAGUUUUACAUCAGCACUAUAAAUGUUCUUAUUGAGUGUAAGUUUUUAAAAUGUUAUUGCAUUAUAAAAUUUAAUGGAAAAUUUUUUUCGUUCCCUUAAAAAUAAACUCAAAUGCCACAGACAUUUCCCCAAAAUUCCAGCUGUCUGCUCGGUCAGCUUGCGUCUCCAGAACGGUUUUAUUUUUCCUCCACUGGAAGUUUGAAGAUGUACUCUUUGAUAUGUAACACCAUUUUGAAGGGGUUAACCAAACUUGGACUUUUUUCCAGUGGACUAAGCAGUUUAUUUUCACAUAAUCUAGGUACACAUUGCAAAAUUAGCAUUUUAAUUGAAAGGUUUUCAUUACUAGUUAUAAACUGUCAUCCUAAUAAAAAAUAAUCUUCUCAACUUACUUAGUACAACAAUUUAAUAGAUAUAUUAAUGUGUGCAUGAGUGUGAAGUUCUGGAAAGUCUACACAUAGGUGGAAAUCAUUUCAAAUUUGUAAUAAAGUCCAAGUGUAUUUCUAGUAAAAAUAUUUUUACAUUCAACCACACCCUGUAUAUUAUAUUUUUCUUACUAUGUUGGUUUUUCCACUGAAGCAGACAUAGACCAAGUGCAUGACUUUCUAAACACAAAAGAUCCAUCACUCUGGGCUAUCCGUUCAAGUAUUUCUCCAUCUCUCUUUGCAUCCAUCCAUCCUUCCAUUCAUUCUGUUCAACUAAACGAGCAUUAAUUUUUUUACCCACCAGCUGUUUGGACUUGUGCUAGAGCAGAGAGGAAUGGGUUAUCUCCUUGUUUGGAGAUUUUACAGUACAGAUUAAAAGGUAAUGGAGUAAUUACAGUACAUUAGGUAGCAGCUACAUCAAAUAGAUGAACAGAUAUGAUAAUAAGUUUAAGAAAACAGAAAUCAACCCACCUUCUUCACCUUCAUACAGAAAGCAAAAAUUACAACUUACCAGUGCAUUUGAUGUUUUUCUCACCUCACAUGCUCUCAAACUGGCUGUCUUUGUCUUCCCCAAUGUCCCAUAGGGCUAAUUUCCACACCUUUCAUUUUCAUGGCAUUCCUAAGGCCAUGCUACACUGUGUACAUGCCAAAGUUUCUCCCUUGUGACCAAAGCUACUUGAAGGCAAAAAGUAGUGGUUUCAUGUUCAUAUCACUGAUUGUCAGCACGUAUCUGUAUGGUGAGUUUUUAGGAGGGAAAAGGAUACAUAGCUUGUCCUCCAUAUGUAGUUUCCACAUGUGUGAUGGAUUCAAGUAUUGAAAUGUUUGAAAAGAAAUAGUGGCUGUACUAAAUAUAUAGUCUCUUGAUGAUCAUUAGUCUUUAUAUUCUACAGCCCAGCAACUAUUUAUACAAUGUUAGCAUUCUGCUGAUAUUAUAAAUAAACUAAUCUUGGCUUAUAUUGAAGAAUGUGUGUAGGUUAAAUACACAUACUAUGGAAUAUAGCAACCAAGUCUCAUAGACACAGAGAGGCAACAAGACUUAUAAAUGAAUGUUCUUCACUGAUCCAUUUGGCUGUGGUCUUUGGAACACAGGGACCUGCUCCCCCGAUUUCUAAGAUGUUGCUCCUUCUUCUUCCCUUUUACAAAGGUAAGAAUUUUAAGUAUGUCUUCUUUAAAGUGGCUUUUUCCCCAGAGGUAACUGCAGUAUUUAGCCUCCUGGCAGAGAAAAACAAUAAACUGUCAAAAUGCUUAAGCCAGUUUGAGAAUAUUCUGGAAUUUCUGGUUUCCUUUCCCCACAUUUUGCACAGCUAUAUAAAUAUGGGCCUAAUCUGAAAGUCAGCUUGAAAACAUAUUUUACAGGGACUUACAGUACUUUUUUGUUUUUGUUUUAUUUGUUUUGUUUUGCAUUUCGCUUGCCUAGGCAAGUGUUGUAAUAUUGUGUUAACAUUACACCUAUUUAUAUUGAUCCUUUCAAAAUGAAUAUCCAUGAGUUGCCAUUUUUAUAUAUGUAAUCUAGUCAACCAGAGAAGAAAAGAUCCGAUAAAAGUUAUUAGAUUGUCAAUUAUAUGUUGAAUGAUAUAAUGCAGAAUACAUAAUAAAAAAGAAGUCAAGAAAAAAAUUAGUUUUUAUUUUAUGUUGUAUAUUUUCAUUGCCCGUUUAGACCAAAAAGCUGUAUAUGUACAUAUAUGUAUGACAGAUUAUUGAAAGUGAAUGAAAUUUAAUAUUUUGAUCACUUACACACACACACACACACAGACACACACACACAGACACACACACACACACAGACACACACACACACAGACACACACACACACACAGACACACACACACACACACGAGAGAGAAAGGCACAGCAUUUGCAGUGAGGCUGUAUUAAUUGUAGCUGGUUGCCAGCCAAUGCAGUAUUGACUCAUUCAGUGAACAACCUCCUGGGAUCUCAUGCCCACUUGCCCUUUUUUAAGUGACAAGUAUGGAGUUCACAGCGUAUGUGACCUUACACUAAACUUUCACUCCUUACUUACAGUCUACACUGGCAGUCAGUGCUCAACACCAAGAACUUACUUGUCAUCUGACUGAGUUUCUUUUUCUCACACAAACUGCAUCAGGAAAGUCACAUCAACCUAAAUAGCUGCACACAGGUAGCAGAACUGGUUGAUGGAUUUGUUUCUAUACCCAAAGUUUUCUUCCUUAAAUAUGAAGGAAGCAUUGGGUGGAAAAAUACAAACCAAGCAAGUGCUGACUGUAUAGUUUGCUCCAAGAUGAAUGUUUGUUUGUUAACAGUAUGUAAAUCAAUAAAUGUAUAAAGACCCCGUGAGUCACACAAGCACUUCACUGGGUCUGCAGCACUCAUGGCUGGGUAUAUUCACAGGCAUUACUCAAGUAACUGUCUGCACUGGGGGAUUUAACCAACUUCCUGUAAGGCAAUAUGUUUAUUCCUGAGGUCCUCAACUAGUGAUUGACCUCAUGCUAUAUAUACCCUUAGAAAGGUAUACCACCAUGUGUAUGUGCACAAAUGAGCAUGGGUGCUUAAGGGCAAGGCUCGUAGUUUUGUUUUACUUCGUGUAUAUUCUAUAAAAGGCUAUAAGCAAAACUGUUUGCAGAUCUAGCCCCUCAUCCACUCUUAAGUAUUCAUGACCAACGUGCCACUCACUUGCAGCAUUGCCCAGCCGCUGCCCAUCUGUAAGCAAAGCAAGGUCAGUGCUCAGCCACAGACGUCUCCAAACAUCACUCAUUUGUCUGGCCAAAGGAAACCAUGAUUCGAUUAUACCAAAAACUUAUUUUGCUCAAAGAAAUUCCUGUCUUGAAUCUAUUAAAAAAAACACCUCAUUUUUCCUCAGGUGACUAAUAUGCUUCAGCACACACACACACACACACACACACACACACACACACACACACACACACACAAAAUGGGAAGUUCAGAAAUAAAACUGAGUCUUAAUAUCUUUAGAUUGGGAGGUUAACUCAGAAAAUCCUCUUUUGGGGGUAUUGUCUCCAUACAAGCAUACUCUGCCAAUUCUUUUUUGUCUCUUCAGAAAUGUUUCAAACAUAAGGGACUGAGAAUAAUAAAAUGAAUGCCCACAUUUGCCCCCACACAUUUAAUCACUCAUUUUGUUUUAUUUCCUCAGUCUUGGGUCAAUUUUUUUAUCUCUAAAUAAUUAUUACAUUUAGAUUCAGUUGAAACAACUACAUAUGUAUUCCCAAUUCUAUCCCCCAAAGGUAUCCUUGUAGAUACCAAUUAUCAAACUAAAUAUUAAAAAUUUUACAAAUAUACACAUGCUACAUAUGUUUUCCCAAUUCCUUCCUCCAGUGCUAUCCUUAUAUUUUUGGUUGUGAGCCUAGCCUUUAACGGCUGAGCCAUCUCUCCAGCCCUAGUGCUAUCCUUGUAGAUACCAAUGAUUAAUUCUCAUACUGAAAGAUAUUUUACAAAUAUAUACGUAUCCAUAUACCGAUAUCAAGAUAUCUAUGAGUAUCAAUUUGCACAUUUUGAAUAUUAUAUAGUCUUUCCUACACUGUAAAAUAUCAUUCACCUAUUUUUGUUGUUGGAGGCAAGAUGUUCAUUGUUAUAAAGUCCAGUCUGGUACUAAACUUUGUCUUGCCUCAGCUUCCUGAGAGCUGAGAUUAUGACCAUGUAUUGGACAUGCAUAUCUGCCUGUGCUCAUUUAGUUUUGAUUCAAUAUUAAGCAUCACAGGUAUUAACAUUGGUUACCCUUUCUACUACCAUAUGGCAUUUAUUGUAGGACACUGUCUAGGUUUACCUGUUAUUUCCUCUAUGAGCUUUGUUCUAAGAACAAUGGUGUUGCAGUGAACACUCUAAGUAAGUAGGUCUCAUGUGUCACCUCUUGAAGUCCCAUAACCACAUGCCCCUGCCAACAGUGAUGAGAGGUAACCUUCUGUUCUCCUCAUAAAUAGUCCUAUAGCUUUUCCAGUGCCAAAGGCUCAGCUUCUACAAAACGGUGUCCAUGAUGGCUGCUAUGAUGCUUACAUUACACCUGUUGUCACUAUCCAUUAAAUUUAAUUGUCACAGUUUUUUCCUGGGUGAUAGUUGUUGUACCUAUCUUGAGUUCCUUAUGAUGUCAUUUAUGCACCCUGAAGGAGAUUUUAUCAUAUAUACAUUCACAGGUUUUGUAUAUUGAAUAGGUCUUUAAUAUUCAUUGGGUGAACAAAUAAAAUAAAGUUUCAAUGACAAGUAAUUACAUAAAGUGUGAUGUAACUGUAACCAAUACUCCAUUUAAGAUUUCUGUCAGCACUGUUCUUUUCUACUAUAUUGAAUGUUAUUAUUUAAAAAUACCUAUUUGUAUGUUAGUGCUUACUACCAUUACUGACAUCUAGUGCCAAAGAGGUACUCCCAUGGGAACUUAAAAAUAAAAAGAUGAUAAAUUGGCCACAUUAUGGACACAUAAGCAUCUAUGUAUCUGCAAGUGGACUAUUCAAAUAUGUAUUUAUUUGCAUUCUUUCUUUUGAUCACAAAGAAGAGCUUCUUGGUUCCUACAGACAGAGAGCGGUGCUUGUAAGCACACCUGUGGGAUACACAGAUGUCAGCAAACCAGAAAGCUUAAUAAGGAUACUAUUGGGUUUCUGAGCCCCAGACUCUGCCCCAACACUCUCUCUCUGUCUCUCUGUCUCUCUAUCUCUCUGUCUCUGUCUCUGUCUCUCUCUCUUUCUCUCUCUCUCUCUCUCUCUCUCUCCGUGUGUGUGUGUGUGUGUGUGGUGUGUGUGUGUGUGUGUGUGUGUGUGUGUGUGUGUGUGUGUGUUGCUCAUCUUAAGGCAUUGUUCUCUUUUAACUCUAGGUCAGUUAUAUUUUCCUAUUGUCUCUUGAGUUCCUUUUCUUCUUGACUUGUACUCUCUUGUUCCUUAUAACUCACCUCACAUUUGCACACACUUUAAACAGCAACAUCCAUUCUACUUCACCCACAGCAGCAGCUAACUCACCAAACAUGUCUCCAUACUCAUCUAUCCAUAGGACAAGGACACACAAUAGAAAGCACUAGGUACCCAGUACACAGUUUCAGCACUUUGGACUUGAGAUCACUGUUGGAAUCAUUCAACUAUGUGCUUGUAGUAUGAGAACAUCAUGGACAAUACAAAACGAGAUGUGAAUUACUGGUAUUCCAGUAAAAAUUAUUUGUACCCUCCUGAUCUACAAGACUUGAUUGACUUCUGCCCUGUUGCUCUGUGUGUAUCUUUACUAAGACACCCUCUGCUGGUAGCUUUAUUUUGCUUCUAGUUCUUCCUACCGGAUAAAAAACAAGGUCAUUAGAGCUUUGAUGAUUCUAACUAAUUUGAGGGUUUUAUGUGGCUAGUAAAUAAGAUGAACCCCUACCAAUGUGAUAAAGGCAAGAGUAUCUUCUACCUCAGUACUCACAGAUAUGCCUGAAUAAUGGUGUAUAAUGGGGACAACAUGCCUUGACUGGGCACUUGUUUUGGAACAAUAAUGCUGCCUUAUAAAAGAGCAACUAACAUUUAAAAAGUCUUUGAGAACUCUGUCUUAGUUAGAAGACAUCCUACAUUCCGGCAACCCUAGGUUGGUAGAGUAUAUGCCAUCUGUGCACAGCUUCCCAUCAGAAAAGGUCCCUUUAGUCUGCCUGGAUAAUCUGUGUAUAGAAACAGCAGUGAAAUACUUAAAUAUACCAAGGGAUAUGACAUGCCUUUAAAAAUCCCUGUGGUUCUUCAAACAUGAGAUCACAAGUAACUACAAGCUGUUCCACUUGAACACAACUGUCAUAUUUAGUGAGAAAAAAAAUAGAACUUUUACUAUUUUUAUUUUUAGAGGUACAUAUAUUUAUGAAACUUAUUCUUAAAAUAAACUCACCAUUUGUUGCUGAAGUUAUUCCUACAAUCCUUGUUUGUGUUUUUAAAAGAAGGGGUGUUUUCACACAUUUUGAUUGUAUAUGUGUACAUGCAUACAAACAUAUGUAUAAGACAGUGUUUUCUAUAUUAAAGAAAAAACUAGAAGGAUGCAUUUCUGUUAGAAAUUCAAGUAUACAACAUACUGAACUAAUUUUUCCAGUCUCUAAUCAAAUAUUGAACUGUCUUAUAUGCUUUUUAUUUCCAUUCAUUGUCAACUUUCUUUUAGCAAAAAGUGUACUACAUCACAGAAGUUAACUGGAGGAAAAUGGAGAUCUCUACAUCCAUUGGGGUAGGGUAUGUGUGAGCAUUUUAGGGAAGCCAGAAAUACUUUCUCUUCAGGCUUUCUUUCAAUAAAAGAAAAUAGCAAUGCAAUAUAUGCAGGAAGGAAAUAUGAUAUAAAAGUGAAAGUUUUCCUCUGUUUGCUGAAAUGACAUGUUAAAAAUGGCAAAAUUUCAAAAAUAUUCUAAGAAACCAAUCAUGCUGAUCCAGAAAUGGAUGCUUUUCAUUAUGAAUAUCCUGGGGAAGAUGGUAGCCAACAGCUCUUAGUGGGACCAAUCAUGAAGUCAGUGGAAACUAGGCUAAACACACUACUCUGCCAAUAUGAGGUAAAGGCAGCAAGCCCAGAUGCUAGAGGUCUGUCUAUCUGAAGAGAAUCUCCACACCACAAUUCAUGCUUUGUAGUUAUAGAAUCAGUGAUACUGUUUGUUUCCUAGUUACUGUUUUUAAUUCUGACAACCUGGUAGAAGAGCUUAAACAAGAGUAUUAUAGGGCUGAAGUCCCCUCAGUUCAUGGACCCUUGAGUUCUAGAAGACAAGAGAACAUGAUAUGGUAGGAAUUACUUACUCUAAGAACUCAUGUUCUCAGGGUCAUGGUGCUGAUCAUUCUAGAACACUCUUCAUCGGUAAAAGCAUACAAACGAAGUUUCCAAAUAUUCCAAUGGAGAACUCAUGUAGUCAGUUUGGUUCAAUUACAACUUUGUCCCUAGUACCUCCAAGAAAAUGCAGGGCUUCCUCUAAGAAUGGGUAAGGGAGAUGGUGGGAGAAAGAAAGACAGAAGAUUGAGAAUAAGAAGGUAUUUGUGACAUACACAUUCUAAGUAUAGUAGUAUAGAAACACACACACAGUAUAUGCAUGCAUUGCUAAUCCUCACGAUUCAUAGAUUUCAUAUUCAUGUAUACACCACAAAAUCAAUAAGGUACUUUUUAGAAGUCAUCUAUGUGUAGGUGUGGGAGAAACAACAGUUCACAAUUUAGAUCUCUUGUUGCAUGUGUUUCCAGUUCAUGAUGAACAAGGCUAAAAGAUGACCAAGUGUUCCUAAACUCAAAAGACUUGUGUGUGUGUGUGUGUGUGUGUGUGUGUAGAGAGAGAGAGAGAGAGACUGAGAGAGACAGACAGACAGAGAGAGACAGACAGAGAGAGAUAAAGAGAGGGAGAGACACAGUUAUUCCUUACCCAGGGAUUUCUUGUCAUAUCUUACAACACUACUAUCCCGUUUUUCCUUUUUCUUUUAAAUUUGUUUUAAUUUUUUACUUAUACUAAACAUGUAUUAAUCCUAAUUUCAAUUCUCUCUUUUUCUGCCAUCUUGUUCAUUUCAAUUAUUCUAAUUUCCCUUUUUAGGGUGGACUUUCCAUACACUUUAUGCAUUUGGACAGACUUAGCACUGCUUAGAGAAAUUCAAGAUUUAGCUUUACACAGCUGUUUCCUAAUAUGCCAUUCUCCUUCUCUCUUCACCCAUUUCAUUGAGUUGUUGGUUUCACAGCCUGAUCUGUCUCCUUAUUCUCAUUCCUACAGCAAUGUCUGGUGGCCUAUCUCAAGCUCCUUAGCACUGCUAGGCACUUAUCAGCUUCUUCUCUCUGACUGGGAAUUUCUCUUUCCACCAGAUUUUCCUUCUGAUGCAGUUCUGCAUUGCUCUUGUCCCUGAGGUCUGCAUUCUAGUUAUGCUUCAUACUUCAGGAGACAGCACUCUCCCGGGUAUCUUUGGAAUACCGGGUGUCUUUGGAAAUGCUGAUUUCCAUGUUUAUUCACAGCCUCCUGACUCUGCUGUUUUCAUCUCCUUUGUCCAGGACAUUGAGUGUGUUCCCUGGGAGACUGGUUGAAGAUGCUACAGGCUCCUAGAAGUCUAACUUUUCUACUGGUCUCUGGCCACACCUCAGUUAUCCUGGCUUACCACUUCACUGCCUCUUUUUACGUGUUUACAGGCACAAUGUUAUCUUUCUUCUGUGUAAUACUUCACCACGGCCUUGUCCUUAUAUGAGUCGUGCCCUCCUGUGAAUACUGCAUGGCUAUAGUUUUAUGGUUUUAUUUUGUUAUGUUUUCCCCUAUCUUAUCAUCUUCCCAAAUGCCUGCUUUCUCUCCCUGUACCCAUUACUAUCUCUUCAUUUGACAUGUCUACACUGCAGAGCUUAAAUAAGCCCCCUGUACACAUCAUCUCUCUGUACCAAUGAACAAGUAACUGUCAGCUGGGAUGGUCACAGUCAAUGAACCACUUGGAUGAUUUCAAUCAUUUUCCUCACAAGCAAAGAGAUCUCUCUGUCCUCCCCUUCUUCAUAUCCACACAUACAGCACUCCAGUGAACCCCCGAUUGUGCUGUGUGGCUUCCCCAUGGCCAGAUGUUCAUUCUGGUGAAACUAGCUUUGUGGCUUUCCAUGUGGCCUCUGAAGCAAAUGUAACAAGACACAAUAGAUGACUCUUAAAUAUCCAAUGACAUGGUUUGGAAAUCUAUAUUAAGACUAUAUUAAGCAUUGAAAGGGAAUUGGAACCAACAAGAAACCAGAAGAGGAAAAAAAAAAGAGUUGAGUAUUUGCUUCAUUUUUUUAACAAAAAAUUGUCAUUUAUUUCCAGUACAUACAUGAGCUUUAAAUUUAAUAGCAACACUGCAUGUUUGAUUACAUUGUGUUACCUAUCAUUUGAUUAAAAGGACAUUCUGUGGUCUUCAGCAUAGUGGGAUAGUUUCUUGACUACUCUUGUUUAUCUAGUUGUCUAGGUCACCUCAACUAAUGUCAACUAUGAACGCAUUUUUAUUAUCUUCUUUCAGCUCCAAAGCCUAGAAUAAAACUACACGCCCAGGAGCUCUGGAAAACAGCUCUCAGCAGCAUGACCCAACUUGUUUAAAAACAGGAAUUUGUGAAGUAACUCAUCAAGAUCAACACUGGAUACAAAACCCUGGGGAACCAUGUAAGGAGAUUUUUCUUGGUAGAGAUGCAAUUCUGUUCUCAGUGGAGUGACUUUCAACAUUCAUCAAAGAGAGAUCAUGGUCACACCAAACAGGUGGCCUGAAUCCCUUUAGAAGUCAACAGGAACAACACAAGCACAAGGACUGAAUGCUUCUCACCUAAUAUAGUUGCUGCUUGACCUUAAGGUCUACAGGGUCACCUCAGAGUAAAAACAAAAUGGUACCAUAUUACUUACAGUAGCUGAGUUCACUGUGAGAACUAAAAUAUUUCUCAUUGUUCUGACGCCAUACUGGGAUUGAAUCUAAAGAUGUAGCCUAGCUCUCUUUUAAGGACUUCCACUUUCAUUUGAUGUCCAUUACUGGUCAAACUGCAGCCUGUGAACAAAGUUGCUUUUUUUUUUUUUAACUUGUCAACUUGUACAUCAAUAAGAAUAGUAACCCCCAAGAUCAGGAACAUAUCCUGAAGGAACUAAUGGGCUCAAUGACAGUCAUUGUUAUAACUGUUCUACUUCUGUGUCCUAUGCAUUUGGUGAACUGAAAUAGAACUACAUAAAGUUACUACUCUACCUCAGAGGCUCUCCUAUGAUAAACAAGCAUUUCUGAGGUGUGUGCUAUCCUCCCAGUUAUAAGGAAAGUACAGACUUCUGGAACCAGAUUACAGAUAUUCUCGGAUACACACACGCCUUAUGACUACAACUGAGUAUGCAGUGGAUAUUUUUAAGUUAAACACUACUUAUCCACGAGUAGUCUGUUUCCCCACACCAUGCUCUUACUCCACUCCAUUCUCCAUUUCUUUUUCUCUUAAUGACUGGAAUUUUCCAGCUAUCCAUCAUGACCUACUAACUUUAUCUUAACUGACUUCCUUGUGAUUUUUAUCUCUGGUAUUUUAAAGCAUCAUUCACAUGAUACUGUAAACAUGCUAUCAGAAAUUCCACCAGCACUAAAAGCUCUGUAUCUCUAAAGUUAAACUCGUGUUUAUCUUUCCCUACAUACCCCUUAACCUGUUUUGUCACCUGAAGUCCUGUUUCAGUUAAUGGCCCCACUAUCUAUAUAAUGGCCCAACCCAACUACCAGAAAUAGUAAGUCCAUCUCUAUCUUCUCCAUUUGAUAAUCCAUAAGUACAACUCCACACUAGUGUUGCAUUUUUCCUCUUUUCUUACAUUAUUUCCUCAGUCUGCAUCCUAAUUCAAUGCCAGUCUCAAAGCUGAUCAUCUCUGCUCUUGAUCUCCUUCAAAUCAUCAGCCAUAGAGGGGAACACCUUAAAUGAGAGCUAGUGAUGGCUUCAUGUGGUAAUCAGACUUGGAACCCAGGGCUUGUGAUGCUGAAGCAAUUGGACUACAACUUGUAAGCUAGCCUGGUCUUCACAGAGAGGUAGAGGUCAACCUGGACUACAUCAGGAAAUUCCAUUAGGACAGACAGACAGAUGGAUAGAAAGAAUGGAGGGAGGAGAGAGGGAAGACAGGCAGAGAGGGAAAGAAGGAAGGAAGGAAAGAAGGAAGGAACAAAAAAAAAAGAAAAGACAAAAUAGGAUGUCAUUAUUGCCUGCCUUAGUUCAAUCUGUUUAAAAGAUUACCCAAUAGGUAUAGAUAAAAUCCUAAAAUUUUAGAAUGGAAAGAAAACCUUCUACCAUACUAUUACUAAUCUUAUUUACAGUUUUAAAGGCAGUCACCACACUAAGUGUAAGUAUACAUAUUUUAAAUAUUAUACAGAUACACACAGCUCUCACAUACAAUGUUAAUACUGUAUCUUGAAAUAUCCUGUGCAAUUUCACAGAUUAAGUAAACUGGCCCUGAACUUACUCAUAGCCAUCAAAUCAGUAGGAGUAAGCUGAAGUUGAAUUUGAACCUAAUCAUAUUCUCCUAUGAGAUAUCUUUAAGACCAUAUUACCUGCUUUGUGAAAUGACUAACAUUGAGCACAUCACCUUCUAUACAUCAUGGCUUUUAACUAGAUGAGAAACUGGAUCCAGGGCUACAGACAAGGAAAUGUGAACUGUAACAUUACAGUAAUCAAAGAUCUCCCUGCCUUGGGUAAAAAGGAACAGUCUAGAAUGGCCUCAUAACUAUUACAAUGAGAAUAAUGCCCAAUAUGUUUGCAAAUCAGGGUUAAAAUCAGUUACAAUACAGUUAAAAUCAAUUAGUUGUGAAAUUAUCAGCCAAUUUUAACAUAACUGAAUGAAUUUAAGGUUUUUUCUGGAUGAUGGACACAUUAUCCAAUAUUACCAGGCUUGGCUAGUCAAUGUUUGGACUUCCAGUGGUCUCUCACACUGGGCUAGGGUAAAACAUGCCCUGUUGGCAUUUUCAUCUGCCAAAAUAGCCAUUUGCAAUUAAAAAUUAAUAUUGGCAUUACUUCUCUGCAAGCAAUUAUCAAAAGGUUUCUGGCCAUCUUCUUUGUUUAUAGUGUUUCUUGCACCAUGACUUAAUUUUGUUUUGAAGUACUGUUCUCAAUUUUUCUGUUUCUUUUAUGCCAUACUAGUCCUGAUAUUGAUAUAUCAAUAAUUUUAACAUUUUUUCAAUUGGAUUAUGGACCUCAAGUAUAAAGAAAUAUUUAUUUAUAUUUAUAAAAUAGACUGACUCGCCAUGCUAUAUUUUAUAUUACUAUAUUAGCUGAAUAUAAAGCAGCAUAAGUUGAGCCUCACUGCACAUAAGGCAAAUAUGUAAUUUUUAAUGAAUGUAUCUGUUUCUAUAGAUACGGACUUUUAAUUUGGAACAGAACUCUUACACAAAUAAUAAACAAUUAUUUUGGUCUAAUGGCAUCAGAUACAGAACAUAAUUAGUAGCAUAUAGUUCCAUUUUCAAAAAGGGAACUACUAUAGUCUGGACAUUUGGAGUAUUGAUAAAUAAACUAAGAUGCACGAACAGACCACAGCUGUGCAAUGCCCAGGAUUCUAGGUGUUAAUGACUCAGGACAAGGGUUGUAAUUUUAAGGGCUGAGUGCACAUGGAGUGGAAAGAGGCCAUGAACAGGUUUCUUCUCCAAUGAGAGGCCAGAAGUGUUAAAUUUUGGAAAGGUGACUUCUGCUAUGCUGUGGCACUUAAGGAGAAGGGUGUGAAGUUACAGCCAUGAAUUAGGAGGCAAUUAUCCAGCUCAGACACGAGAAGGGGGAGUGAUUAAGAUGCCAGAUAACUUAGUAUUCCAAGUAUUUUGUUCCUUCUGGGAUGGUAUUUUAGACUCAUUCAAUUCUAUCACCUUAUUGAGUCAUAGACACUGUGAUGCCCAAGCACAGAUGAAUAGUCAGAGGCACAAAGGGUCAACUGACUGCUUCACAUUAGCUAUUUAGUAAAAACGCUGCAGGUCACAUAGCCACCUUCUGGGAUACUUAUAGCAUCUUUAAGAGAAUUGCAAAGAUGUGGCAUUUCUUUCAUCUUUGGCUUACCUGAAGUCUGCAUAGGGAACUUCCUCACUCAUUGAGUUGGCAUUUAACAAGGCGCUAUUAGAUACGCAAAUUAAAUUAAAAUUCAGAAUUAUGUAGACCUUCUGUAUGGGAAGUUUUCCCUCAUACAGAAGGGCUGGAGCAAGGUGGCACCAUGACCACCAAGAUGGUCAAAGUACCAUUGUAAUGGCUCUCACAGAAUGUGAUAAAUCUAAGACAAAUGGUUCCUACCUCAUCCUUGCCAACUGCCUAGGAGUGUGCCAGAGAAGCCACAUUUGUACUGUAGUUUGAAGAAAUAGUGAAAGUCGGAAAUAUGUGUUAAAAAGUCAUGGUACACUUAGUGGGAAAUAUUCAACAGCAUAACAUAGGAGCAAAGAUAUAGCCACAAGCCACAGGACAGAGCAACCCAGCAAGGCCUUUCAUCAGAGGGAUGGAGUUUUGGGGAGGUAGCUGUAAUUAGGCCAGAAAGAUGACAUGAGAGUCUUCUGACCUGUGCCAGGGGAACUGGAGCAUAAUUUUUUAUCACUCUUACUUCAUACAUCCAUAUACUAAGAUCAUACAAACCUGUGUCAUUCCACAUGGGUUUCAGUAACAGAGGUCUUACUCUUUAGAAACAUCAUUCAAAAAUAUUCCAAUGAAGCCUCAUCCAAUUCUCUAGUCUUUGAGGUGUUCUAUUAUGGCAUUCUGGGUCUUCCUUCACAUUCCCACUCUUUGGUUCUUGCUGGUGUUCCUAGCUCCUUUCACCACUUUUUAAAGCAUUGAUUGAAUUACCACAAACUGAUAAAGUUUUCAAAAUCAAGGUGUAGGGUUGAGACAUUUAUAUUACCCUCAAGAUUUCUAAAUGAAUUUAUUCUUUCAACAUAUUUUCUCAUGGGGCCUUCUAGGUUCUUGAAACUGUUGGUAUUGCUGAUCUGAAGCCCAUGAAACCAUAAGGGAUGGCCCCACGUUCCUAUUUCUUACAAUCCCUACACAGCUGACUAAGAACAUCUGCUUCUACUUGAGCAAGUCUGAAAUUUUUUACAUUUCUGUGAACUUGGGUCAUAUAUUA